rnacentral:rRNA from 1 species
UACGUAGGGUGCAAGCGUUAAUCGGAAUUACUGGGCGUAAAGCGUGCGCAGGCGGCUUUGCAAGACAGAUGUGAAAUCCCCGGGCUUAACCUGGGAACUGCAUUUGUGACUGCAUGGCUAGAGUGCGGCAGAGGGGGAUGGAAUUCCGCGUGUGGCAGUGAAAUGCGUAGAUAUGCGGAGGAACACCGAUGGCGAAGGCAAUCCCCUGGGCCUGCACUGACGCUCAUGCACGAAAGCGUGGGGAGCAAACAGG